UACGUAGGGCGCAAGCGUUGUCCGGAAUUAUUGGGCGUAAAGAGCUCGUAGGCGGUCUGUUACGUCCGCUGUGAAAACCCAGGGCUUAACCCUGGGCUUGCAGUGGAUACGGGCAGGCUAGAGGCAGGUAGGGGAGAAUGGAAUUCCCGGUGUAGCGGUGAAAUGCGCAGAUAUCGGGAGGAACACCGGUGGCGAAGGCGGUUCUCUGGGCCUGACCUGACGCUGAGGAGCGAAAGCGUGGGGAGCAAACAGG
rnacentral:rRNA from 1 species